ACUACUUUGGCAGAAGUUAAGUGCAAUAAAUUUAGAAUUUAUUUAUGUAAUUUUAAUUACAGGUAGUA
rnacentral:tRNA from 2 species